rnacentral:lncRNA from 1 species
UUAAACUUCAGAGCCACUUGGACUGGGUUUAUAGCACAAAGCUGUCCUGUGAUCAGAGGUCAGAAGAGGGCUUCGGAUCCACUGGCGCUGAACUGAUACAUGCUUCUGAGCCUUGAUAUGGGCGCUGGGAACUGAACCUGGGUCCUCUACAAGAACAAGUGAGCUUAACUGCCAAGCCAACUCUCCAGCACACAAAACUAGUUCCCUUAACCUUUGUGUUUAUUUGUACAUGACCAUCAUAUACGUCCAGACCAGUAAAAAACUACAAUCUAUUUUAUUAAAAACAAAACUAACUUGUAAGAAACUCAACUGUACACACCCAUGUGCUCAGUGUGCACACACAUGUGCACACAUUACUCUCCUGGUGGGUUAAUGCUUUGUCAUUUGGUAUCUAACUUAAUAAACACGUUCUUCUUUGCUGCACUUU